CUUUUUUGCCUACUCACAAACCAAUCAGGAUGCACUCCUUAUUCUGAGCCCAUAAAAAACCUCAGAUCCACUGAACCAGAACCUCUUUGAGGAGGACAAGGAGUUUUCAUUAAGUUCUGUGGGCAUUUUUUACACUUAGUAAAGAUUCAGGCCUUCCUCCAAUGUCUCUAAAUCCUAUCUAAUGCUUACAUUAAAAAAAGAUAAGAGCAUUCUUAGACUAGAUAUGGCUCAGUGAUAUUGGGAACUCUCCUGCCUUCAGGUAGGGGGACCACCCCUGCAUCCCCUCCCCACCAAGAGCUAUUGCAGCACUCAAUCAAACUUCUCGCCUAACUCACUCUUCGAGUGUGUGCGUGCCCAAUCCUUCCUGGUGGUGAGACAAGAACCCAGGCCUAAGCUAUGGAGCAAAAAUACUGCAUCAUGUGUGUAUUUGUUUCAGAGACUUGGAAGAAAACAAGAAAUGCCAAGGCAGAAUUUCUUGAGCUGUGAUUCUCAAACCACCUAGAUCAUAAAGAUAUAAAGGGCACUGUUAUAAAAGCAGAUUCUGGGGCUCUACCUCAGAUCCACUGAACCAGAACGUCUUUCAGGAGGAUGAGGAGUUUUCAAUUAAGAACUGAGGCUCAAAGAGGAUAUGGACAUUUCCCAAGAUCAACAAGUAGCAAGUGGCUGAGAUGACAUUUAAAAUGUUAAAGGAACAUGGGGCCAAAAUAAAAGGUGCACAACUGGCAUUUA
rnacentral:lncRNA from 1 species